rnacentral:rRNA from 1 species
UACAGAGACCUCAAGCGUUAUCCGGAAUCAUUGGGCGUAAAGCGUACCGAUAGGUGGUUAUACAAGUCAGACGUGAAAUCUCCGAGCUCAACUCGGAAUCUGUCUUUUGAAACUGUAUGACUAGAGGGGCAAAGAGGAAGCUGGAACGAACGGUGUAGUAGUGAAAUGCGUUGAUAUCGUUCGGAACACCGAUAGCGAAGGCAGGCUUCUGGGUGCCACCUGACACUGCUAGGACGAAAGCGUGGGGAGCGAAUGGG